UAUCAUUGAUCAAAAGAAAAGAUUAUGUUUCCCGUGCGGUUUAAAUUUUAAGCCCUUUAUUAUUAUUAUUAUUAUUAUUUUGUUAACUCUAUUUCAUCACUUUGCAUUUAGUGUUAUGUUGUGUUUGUUUUACAACAUGGGGGUAAGGAUCUUGAAAGCUUUGUGCUCCUGAAUUUUGAUGAAGCACGGAGUCUAUUAGUUCAGGUUACAGCAGCCCAAGUAGUGGCUGAACUGCAUAUGAGUUCAUUUACUGUUAAACUUUGGUUAAAGCUCUAAGUAACUUACUAUUAAACUUUGAUUAAAGCUGGGUUUCUUGAUUCAAAGAAAAUAAGGUCAAGUUUGAUUUUUAAUAUUUAGUUUAUUUUGUGUAUUCAAUAACUUCAUGGUGUAUCUGCUUGAAUUCAUGAGACUCUUCUUAUACUUUGUUUUGUCAAACUACCUUAGGGGGUGCAGCAAUUUUUGGUCUUUUCUUGGGUGCUGGUAGCUUGAUACAUUGUAGGAAAUCUUACUAACUUUUCUCUUGCUACUAUGAUGAAAUCAAGUUUUCUAGAGAUUCUGGGUAUGGAUUAUGGCAUGCGGAGAGCAUUCAGUGAAGGAGACAUAAAGGUCAGACUUAAUUUUUGCAAUGUUUUUAACCUUUUCUCUUUCCCGUAUGUGCUUCUAUAAUUUACUCUACAUGUUCGGGCAGUGGGUUUCCUAAAGCAUUUGCAUUUUUUUGAUUUAUUUUUCUACAAUCCUUUCAGUGACCUUAGAUGGGGAGGGUCUUUUCAAAUGAUUGAUAUCAAGGUUGUACACUUAGUUCUUGGAGUGAACAAUGGUUGACGGCGUAUUUUUCCUAUAAACAUUGUAGUAUAUUAAUCAUGUCUCCAAAGUAACGACUAAUCCAGUUAGACAUCAGCAAUUUAAAGCCUUUGCCAAGGAAUUACUUGAAAGCCAACGCUGAAUAGAUCCCGUAGUCCAUGGUUGUGGUGUGUCCGUGUAUCAUAAGAAGAUGAAACUACCACUGGAUAGACUUUUCUGUUUAAUAGGUUUUUUAAUCUUUCUCCCCAUGGACAGGGUAGGGUUAAAUCUUUUUCCUCUAGACCACUUAUUGACUACAUUUACUCCUUAUUAGAGGUCUUGCUGUGGGCAACAUGGCUCAUUUUUUAGCAUCUUCAUUUUCUCGUUGCUCAUCUGUGUGGCAUGACCCAACGAGUACUGUCUUUGCAUAGUAGUAUAUGGACUAAGAAAUGUUUAGAUGUUUCUGGCCGCUGGGUCAUUGAUACUGAGUUUUUUUGAGAGACUCUUGGUAAUGGCAAUAUGAGCUUCAUCCAUUCGGCCUGUGAUGAUGAUCACCACCUAUCCUACUGAGGACCGCAGGGAAAAGCUUUCUAAUUACAGAAAUAAAAAGACAAAGAGGAACUUUGGCAGAAGAAUCAAGUAUGCUUGCAGGAAGGCUCUUGCUGACAGUUAACCAAGAAUUCGUGGACGGUUUGCAAAGACAAAAGAACCAGACAUGAUAUAGAGAUUGCCGCUGUUUUUUUUUUUUUUUCAAUUUAUUAUUAUUAUUUGGAGGCUGUAGCAGCUCUUCUGGACAAGAAUAUGUAUGUCAAAUAUCAAACACAAACUCCAUUAUAAUCAGAACACAAAGAGAAAUGACAAGCAAAUGGCAGGUGUAAAACUCAAAUGAAUUUAUA